GCGGACGUAGCUCAAUUGGGAGAUCGUCAGUCUGAAGAGCCUGAAGGUCGUGUGUUCAACCCACGCAGACCGCA